rnacentral:lncRNA from 1 species
CAUACUUGUUGUCUCGUCUCAUUGAUCUAUUCGUUUAGCAAGUGUUGUAGUUUCAAUGGGUUUUAGAAAUUAGUUUUUUUUCUUUUCUUUUUCUAGUGGUACUUAAAAAUUUAUGCAUGGUAUUUCAACUACGAUGUACCCAAAUUCAGGUUGUAAUGACUCUAAUUUUGGGCAGCACUAUUCUUGGCACAGUAUAGUUUCAAUUUUGAGGCAUCAAACAAUUUUUGGCAGCUCUACUCUUGGCUUCAAUUUUCUGCAGCAUUAUUCUUGGCA